AUUGAACGCUGGCGGCAGGCUUAACACAUGCAAGUCGAGCGGAGCGGCGGACGGGUGAGUAAUGCUUAGGAAUCUGCCUAUUAGUGGGGGCCAAAACCCCGAAGGGAAUGUUAUUACCGAAUACUAAAAGUGGAGCUUAAGUGGGAUUAGCUAGUUGGUGGGGUAAAGGCUUACCAAGGCGACGAUCUGAAGCGGGUCUGAGAGGAUGAUCCGCCACACUGGGACGGAGACACGGCCCAGACUCCUACGGGAGGCAGCAGUGGGGAAUAUUGGACAAUGGGGGGAACCCUGAUCCAGCCAUGCCGCGUGUGUGAAGAAGGCCUUCGGGUUGUAAAGCACUUUCAGCGGGGAGGCGUUACCCGCAGAAGAAGCACCGGCUAACUCCGUGCCAGCAGCCGCGGUAAUAC
rnacentral:rRNA from 1 species